UUCGAUUUUGCCACUCCAUUCCUCUUCCCCGUUCUCGGGCUGCCGUGCCGAGCGGAGCAGAGCGCCGCCACUCGCCGCGCCGGACGUAGUUCGUCACCCUGCCGCCAUCCUGCACGCCCCGAGUCUCCCAAGAGCCCAUCCACCCUACCCUCCACCUCCACCGCCCCGCCCCGAAGUCGAUUGAGCCGUUCCUUGGCUGAAAUCGAGUUUGCACCGGCAGCCACCAUUAGAGCUCCUCCCGAAGCUCCGCCCCCAAUGCCGGCAAGCACCUCGGGCCACCCCUCAUCGCCCUUCGAACCCCAAAUCGGACUCGCGGUGAAGUCCCGGUGCUCCUGCGCCCAUCCCCCGCCGCUUUGACUCACCGUGGCGGCCUCUCGGCACCGCCCCUGUCCACUGGACCACUGCCGUCCAUGGAACUCCCGUGCGCCGCUUCCUCCUCGCCAGGAUGCUGCUACUAGGUGGACUCCAUGCCUCCCUCAUGCUUCCCAAUCGCUCCCAGCCACUGGCAUGGCCUCUUUUCGCCGGACUCGAGCUCCCUGGGCACCUCCUCUGCUCCAAAUCGCGACAAGGACCUCGUGCAGCAAUUAGAGUACGCUAGAUGUGUGAUGCGUGGAACUGAAGGGUGAUGUUGGAGUCGAUCCAGAAGAUGGUGUACUGAUGAACCGACCCAGAAGAUGGAAGGACCGACUAAAGUGCAAGCUAGGGCCGGAGAUGCUAUCAAGCCGGUGCAAGCUAACUAACUGACUUUGUGUCAAACCCAGGCAAGCCCUGGAGCAUAACCCCUAAUUUGAGUAUUCAAUGUUUAUUUAAGUAUUUGUGCAUUUACGUUUUUAGGAGUUGUAUGGAACCCUAGUAUGCAUGUUUCUCCCUAGGUACCUAUGAGUCUAUACUAGUAUACAGGUGUCGUUAGUAUUGCCAUGCUUAACUAGGAUCCGGUAGAAGUCGAGUGAUUGUUGUCACUCGUGAGCUAUAGGUUUCUGUUACUUAAGGCAACGUGGCUUGAGAGUGAAUCAAUGAGGAAAGAGAAAUGGAGACCGGGCGGAGAUGAUUUUGGUUUUGGAUACGGAAUGGAGGGAAAGUAAGCCUCCGCCUGUGUCGAUUGA